AUCGCAACCAGCCAUUGACGAUGAGCGCUCGGCUCU
rnacentral:sRNA from 1 species